rnacentral:tRNA from 1 species
GGGGUUGUGGCUUGGUUGUAGAGUAUCUGAUGGGCAUCCAGAAGGUCACAGGUUCAAUCCCUGGUGUCUCCA